GGGGGAGAGGUGCAGAGGGAGGAGGGGGUUAAUUCGGCAAUUGAGGAUUUGAUUCCGGAGAAGGAUAAGUGGAAGCCGUUCUGGGUGAGGGGGAAGGAUUUGCUGGGGUACUCGCUGAAUUCGCUGAGGUCGUCUGGGUUCAGGUUUGAGGAUACAGUGGCUGAGCGGUCGUCGGCGGUGGUGAGGAUGGUGAUUGGCGAGGAGGAGACUCGCCGGCUUCUUGAGAAAUGCAAAGCGAAGGGGAUAAAGCUAUGUGGAGCUAUAUUGGCUGCG
rnacentral:misc_RNA from 1 species